ensembl:snRNA
GUGUGGCUUGGAAGGAGAGAAGGUUAAGAGUUCCCUUGAGCAGGAUGGGAGAGGCCUUAUGCCAACAGGACACUUGGUGGGUGCGGCCUCCUCACCGACUUGGUGGCAUCCAACCCCUAUUUCC